GAUGAACGCUGGCGGCGUGCCUAAUACAUGCAAGUCGAGCGAACAGACGAGGAGCUUGCUCCUUUGACGUUAGCGGCGGACGGGUGAGUAACACGUGGAUAACCUACCUAUAAGACUGGGAUAACUUCGGGAAACCGGAGCUAAUACCGGAUAACAUGUUGAACCGCAUGGUUCAACAGUGAAAGACGGUCUUGCUGUCACUUAUAGAUGGAUCCGCGCCGCAUUAGCUAGUUGGUAAGGUAACGGCUUACCAAGGCAACGAUGCGUAGCCGACCUGAGAGGGUGAUCGGCGACACUGGAAGUGAGACAGGGUCCAGACUCCUACGGGAGGCAGCAGUAGGGAAUCUUCCGCAAUAGGCGAAAGCCUGACGGAGCAACGCCGCGUGAGUGAAGAAGGUCUUCGGAUCGUAAAACUCUGUUAUUAGGGAAGAACAAAUGUGUAAGGAGCUAUGCACGUCUUGACGGUACCUAAUAAGAAAGCCACGGCUAACUACGUG
rnacentral:rRNA from 1 species